GGCUCUGUAGUGUAGUGGUUAUCACUCGGGAUUUUGACUUGGCUGCUCGUCUUCCCGAGACCCAGGUUCGAACCCUGGCAGGGCCU
rnacentral:tRNA from 1 species